CUUCGGUGACAAGCUGUGGACAAAUGUAGUGGACAUGGGCGUCGAUGGCACCUGCGGUGACGAUCAACUUUUCGCCAGCGAUGACCUCGGUGGAAGAGCCUAUGACCAGACAGGAGUCGACGCAGUCCAUGUCAUCCGGGUUACCAGCCUUUCCGAUGCCGACGAUGAUACCAUCCCGAACGCCAAUAUCUGCCUGGGAUAGGUCAUCAAAUUUGUACUGUGUGAAGAAUGACAGGAGUAUACGUACCUUAUAGAUUCCGGUCCAGUCCACGAUGACGGCAUUGGUGAUAACGAGGUCGAGUGCUCCUUUGCAGUCUUUGCAGUCUUUCGAGCUCCAGCCAGUCGCCUGGCCCAUCCCAUCUCGGAUG
rnacentral:sRNA from 1 species